CUUGUACUCCCUCCGUCCGAAAAUACUUAUCAUUGAAAUGGAUGUAUCUAGAUGUAUUUUAGUUCUACACAUCCAUUUUGAUGACAAGUAAUUCCGGACGGAGGGAGUACUUG
rfam:Triticum aestivum genome assembly, contig: Triticum_aestivum_CS42_TGACv1_scaffold_129503_2BL